GCAAGUUGAACGAGAAGCUCCCUUCGGGGAGUGGACAGUGGCGCACGGGUGAGUAACGCGUGGGAAUCUGCCCUAGAGUGGGGAACAACGUUUGGAAACGAACGCUAAUACCGCAUACGCCCUUCGGGGGAAAGGCUUCGGCCGCUCUUGGAUGAUCCCGCGUCUAUUAGCUAGUUGGUGGGGUAACGGCCUACCAAGGCGACGAUCAGUAGCUGGUCUGAGAGGAUGAUC
rnacentral:rRNA from 1 species